AAAGUGCGAUAAGCAAUGCGAAUUGCAGAAUUCCGCGAAUCAUCAGAUCCUUGAACGCAACUGGCGCUAGGAGGCUCUCCUCCUAGCAUGUCUGUUUCAGUGUCUGCAAACAUCACACUAAACUUAAUGUGGUUGACAGAAAGAAAGGAGGGGGUUCUUCCCUUCUUAUCUUGAAGUCUUCCAUUAAAGAUGUUGUGUGUGUCGGUCUUUAGGACUCCUCAUCGGACUUUUGGUCACUGUUCUUCAGUGAUUUCGAUUGAGUGACCUAAUUACCCGACUUGAUGAUCUAAAAAACCAUCAGCACACAAGAACCUUCUGGUAGUUAGAAAGGGUAACCCCCUUUCCUAACUUACCUAGUCUUCUAACUCUGCAUCUGAAAUCAGGCAAGAACACCCGCUGAACUUAA
rnacentral:misc_RNA from 1 species